GGACUUGUGCUGUGAAGCUGGAAGCACCUGAGGCCUUUUCCUUGGAGGUUCAGACUGUGUUUGGUGCUGCUGAACUUUACAGGAAUAUGAAGAUGAAGUUAAUGGGUUAUCAAGGUUUUGCUACAGAAAUAUUGGUGCUUUUGGUCACAAAAUUCUGCCUUGAACCCUGUGGGAAGACACAUCAUAUAGAGACUAGGACCUUGAAGAGAAAGUGCUGAUGUUUGAGAUGCAUGUGCCAUGUUCCUAGAUCCUACAGAGAAUGCAAUUUUGCCUCUCCCUACUCUUCCAGCAGCAAUAGAACAACCAGUGUUCCGCGUCUUCUUGAUUGUAUGUAUAUAAUUUUUUCCCAACUGAUGGAUUUGAAAUGGUACCUAAUUGUGCACCCAAUUUCUGUUUCUCCAUUUUCACUAAUGAGUUUGGGAGUUUUACUUGUUCAUGUUUUCUUUGUAAAGGUUUAUGUCUAAGACCCUUUGGGUUUCUGUGAUUUACCUCUGAUUUACUGGAGUUUAAUAAUUUUUAAACUCUAUGUUAUGGCUUGUGUCUAGACGUCUGCCCAAAGCGUCAUGCAUUCAUAGGUGGGGCUUUUUCUGAGGGGGCUGAAUAUAGAAUGUGUGAUUCAUGGUGCAAGGCUAGGCAGGCGAACACUAGGUUUAAGAAGGUCAGUAAUACCCACCUAAGUAGUCAGAGUAAGAUAAAAGGGACAGAAAGAUACUGUUGAGGUCCCCUGUUGCUUUUGCUGUCUUUUGCCACCAUGAACUGUUGCCCCUCUGCCAAGCCACCCUGCCACGGAGCCAGCUGAUUAUGGAUUGAAACCUCUUGAAACUGUGAUCUAAUAAACCCUUUCCCCUUUGUCUUUGAAUGUCGGGUAUUUUGUCUCAGCAGUGAGAGAACAAUAACUAACAUAUUUAGGUUCUUAGAUCCUUAUUAAUUUCUAGGAGACUAUAGCCAAUGUUUCUCCUGUUAUAUGCGUGGCAUUUUCACUUUCUUUUUUCUGAUUAAGUUUCAAACUUAGGGUGACCAUAUUUUCCUUUACAGUUGGUGACUUUUGUUUCCAAAGAGCCCAGUCAUCAAUGGGCAUUGAAUUUCACCAAUGAGUUAGUUGCAUUCACUGCGAGCAUCCUGUGAUUUCUUUCCUUAAAUGUGCUGAGGAGGUGAUUCAACAAUUUACUUUGUAAUGUCAGUCUUCAGUUGUAUUCACAGGAUAAGCCAAAUUUGUAAAUAUAGAUUUUAUACAUAUAUGUACAUAUGCUAUAUAUAUAUGUAUAUAUGCUAUGUGUACCAUACUGAGUCAAUACCUCAGUUUGAAGUUAAUUUGCUAAUCAUUUCUGUGCUGCAUUGUUGUCAGAUAAGGGCUGGUUUCCCAGAAUAGUUAGCAUACACAUAAGCCACUGCACAAGGAAGACUCUCAAAAUUAUAAAAGUGGGUAAAACCAGUUAGCUGCCAACUAGGUUUACUUACAAUUUGAUCAUAUUUGUGUUGGAGGUGAAGACAGUUGCUAAGUAGAUGAAAAAUCUUUUUACAUAUCAGUCCUGCUCAUGUAGAAAGUGAUUUCAUAUAUUUCAUUAAAGUUCUGUAAAUAUAUUCUUAUUUCUUUAUUAUAGUCGGCAUUGUAUCAGCUCUGUAUGUUUGCUCCACAGCUUGAUUUUUCCAAUUGGUAAUGGAACUAUCCAAGUUUUCAAUUUAUCGAUGGGGGAGAGAAAACUGUAUCUCAAAUAAUAAUGUAGUAUAUACAGAACUAAGCUUGCAUUUACAUAUACAAUAUGUGGAUAUGCAUGUGUUUGAUAUAAUGCAUUAUAUAUUAUGUACUAUAAAUAGCAUAUAAUAUAUAUUAAUAUAUAAAAGUCUGGCUUUUAAUAAAAUAUGGUCAUAUGUAACAGGUAUAACACGUAUGUUGCACUAUAAACAUUAUUUUAAAUGUAGCCUUUGUGUUCUCUCUCCCUCUCCCAACAUAG
ensembl:lncRNA